CACAAAUCUUAGGGCUACGAACAGAAGGGUUUUCUUUCAGCUCUCAUCUCUCUCUCUCUUUUGGGUGUCGCUGGUUUUGGCAUCUUUCAGACUCUCUUUGUCCAACAGUCGUAGUGGUGAAUGACGGGGGACACAAAUCUGGAUUAGUUUGAUCUACAAGGCAAUCAGAGUGAUGUAGCAAAGGCUUUAGACACAUAGUUUGGUCGGCGAUUGAGUGGCUUUACCUAUAAGUUGCACAAACAAUACAAGCAAUCUAAGGAUGCAAAAGGGGAGGAGUAAGCAAGAAGCCACCCACCUGCAAGUGUUACUCUUAAUCAGUGAACAUCUCUAAUUGACAAGUGGAAUAGUAAAAAAUUAAAGGAUGCAAAUGAAAACAAAACAUCGAUGUGGAUCAAAAUCAAUCCCGAUAAGGGUAUACAGCUCGAUAAUUGCAAAUGGAAAAGUACCCGAUUUGGUAGAAUUUUACAAGUCCAUCCACUAUAAUUCGGACAUGCAUGAAUGGAUUUUUUCGAAGAGCCAAGUUAAUUAUG